UGGCGGACGGGUGAGUAACGCGUAGGAACCUGACGCGCAGUGGGGGAUAACGCUGGGAAACCGGCGCUAAUACCGCAUGUGGUCGCAAGAAGAAAGCAGCAAUGCGCUGUGUGAGGGGCCUGCGUCCGAUUAGCUAGUUGGUGGGGUAAAGGCGUACCAAGGCACCGAUCGGUAGCUGGUCUGAGAGGGCUGACGGCCACACUGGGACUGAGACACGGCCCAG
rnacentral:rRNA from 1 species